CCUACGGGAGGCAGCAGUGAGGAAUAUUGGUCAAUGGGCGAGAGCCUGAACCAGCCAAGUCGCGUGAAGGAUGACUGUCUUAUGGAUUGUAAACUUCUUUUAUGCGGGAAUAACAAGAGUCACGUGUGACUCCCUGCAUGUACCGUAUGAAUAAGCAUCGGCUAACUCCGUGCCAGCAGCCGCGGUAAUACGGAGGAUGCGAGCGUUAUCCGGAUUUAUUGGGUUUAAAGGGUGCGUAGGCGGCCUGUUAAGUCAGCGGUGAAAUCUAGGAGCUUAACUCCUAAAUUGCCAUUGAUACUGGCGGGCUUGAGUGUAGAUGAGGUAGGCGGAAUGCGUGGUGUAGCGGUGGAAUGCAUAGAUAUCACGCAGAACUCCGAUUGCGAAGGCAGCUUACUAAGGUACAACUGACGCUGAAGCACGAAAGCGUGGGUAUCAAACAGGAUUAGAUACCCUGGUAGUCCACGCAGUAAACGAUGAUAACUGGGCGUAUGCGAUAUACAGUAUGCUCCUAAGCGAAAGCGUUAAGUUAUCCACCUGGGGAGUACGCCGGCAACGGUGAAACUCAAAGGAAUUGACGG
rnacentral:rRNA from 1 species